rnacentral:tRNA from 1 species
GCCUGGCUGGCUCAGUGGGUAGAGCUUGGGACUCCCGAUCUCUGGGUUGUGAGUUUGAACCCCAUGUUGAGUG